rnacentral:lncRNA from 1 species
UGGAAACUAUCUAGAACCCCUCUCUGUUUUCGUCAUCUCCAUGUUUCUAACAUCUUCGAUUGUUUGCUUCUUCCGUUGGAUCAAUCUCUCGAGCCUAUCCCUAUCUGCAUCUGGAAGUUUACAUGGUCGGUCCAUAGAAGGUACAGCUCUUGAUCUUUCCAGUAGUUCCCGUUCUUUUUGCUCUGCGAAGCACAUCAAUGAUCCUGCACAGACCUCUUUAGCUGAAGGCGGCUUCACCGGCUUGAACCUCUGAAGCUUUGAGUACUCGUUGAUUAGAUGAAACAUGUAGUCAUAAACCCGGUUCAUGCUAAUGCUUUCCAUGUAACCCUGUCCUCUUUUUCCUAUUCUUUCAGCCUGUCAAAAAAAAAGAAAAACUCCUUGGUCACAUCAAUAGAAAAUCGAUGAGAAAAGUGUAGAAUACACAUACAUCAGAGGGGUUGGCAUUGCCCCAGUCCACAGCGAAUUUGAUGGACCGACAUAGAUCAGUUGGAGAGACAGGCCAGUAGUUUUCCUUGGGAAGGAGGCCUCUGCUGAAGAAAUCUUCAUACUCCGGUGAGCGAGUAUGACAACCCAGCAGAGUGAGAUAUCAUCCAGUCUCUUCUGCCUUUUAAAUCUUUGGCCUAAGUCUAGUGCUGGCUAGUUUUCAUUUCUGAGGUUUUGGUCUAUCAAGAUUUGAAAUAAUAGGAUGUUACCAAAAGUGGAGGAUACGUCACUUGACUUCCUCCUACACCAAGGGAUUAGGAUUUGUAUUUUAUUUUCUCUUGUUGUGUUACUUUUGAAGAUCAGAGUAAGACUGAUUUAUUUAUAAUUGCCUCUCCAUUCAAACAGCAAUCCGUGUACCUGUAAGUUUAUGGUUUCUUUAUUCUAUAAACCAAGUCUUAAUCAAGUAUCAUCUCGUGCUUAUAGCUUGAUGAUGAUGAACACACGUGUUCAGAGGAAAAAAAUGAUUACACAAUUUAUGUUCCUGGAAACUAUCUAGAACCCCUCUCUGUUUUCGUCAUCUCCAUGUUUCUAACAUCUUCGAUUGUUUGCUUCUUCCGUUGGAUCAAUCUCUCGAGCCUAUCCCUAUCUGCAUCUGGAAGUUUACAUGGUCGGUCCAUAGAAGGUACAGCUCUUGAUCUUUCCAGUAGUUCCCGUUCUUUUUGCUCUGCGAAGCACAUCAAUGAUCCUGCACAGACCUCUUUAGCUGAAGGCGGCUUCACCGGCUUGAACCUCUGAAGCUUUGAGUACUCGUUGAUUAGAUGAAACAUGUAG